UCAUUCCAACAAUUCUAAGGGGCUUGGCCACCAAUUUGGUAAUUUGUCCAACACGUUGCAGAAACACGUUGCACGUUCGUACUACUGGAGAAUACUUGCAUGCGAUGCCCAAUACGAAGGCGAUGUCGGCGGCGGCUUUUAAAAGGCCACAAAAACUACAGAAAACAUCGCGCCUAAUUGCAAUAAUUCAUUGCGAAGCAGCGAAUGCGAAAUAAAUACAGGGAAACACACAGCACACAAAAAUAAAGGCGAAAGCCAUAAAAAAGGCCAAUAAAAACGGUUAACAAAAGACAA